CUCUAUGGCCAUGCUACCCUGAAUGUGCCUGAUCUCGUCUGAUGUCGGAAGCUAAGCAGGGUCAGGCCUGGUUAGUACUUGGAUGGGAGACCACCUAGAAAUACCAGGUGCUGUAGGUG
rnacentral:rRNA from 1 species